GACGAACGCUGGCGGCGUGCUUAACACAUGCAAGUCGAACGAAGUGGCGGACGGGUGAGUAACGCGUAAUCAACCUGCCCUUCAGAGGGGGACAACAGUUGGAAACGAGUGCUAAUACCGCAUACUGAAGGAGGGGAUUGCGUCUGUUUAGCUGGUUGGGGGGGUAACGGCCCACCAAGGCGAUGAUCAGUAGCCGGUCUGAGAGGGUGAACGGCCACAAUGGGACCUGGACACGGCCCAGACUCCCACGGGAGGCAGCAGUGGGGAAUCUUUCGCAAUUGACGAAAGGCCGACGGAGCAACGCCGGGGUAGUGAUGACGGCCUUCGGGGUGGAAAGCUCUGUUAAUCGGGACGCGGUACCGGAAUAGAAAGCCACGGCUAACUACGUGCCAGCAGCCGCGGUAAUUC
rnacentral:rRNA from 1 species